rnacentral:tRNA from 1 species
UAUAGCUCAGUGGCACAGUGCCUGCCUGGCAAGCACAAGGUCCUGAGUUCAAUUCCCAGUA